GGGGCCGUAGCUCAGUUGGGAGAGCGACGCGCUGGCAGAGCGUAGGCCACGGGUUCGAGUCCCGUCGGCUCCA
rnacentral:tRNA from 1 species